rnacentral:rRNA from 1 species
GAUGAACGCUGACAGAAUGCUUAACACAUGCAAGUCAUUGGCGAAGCUGCGCUUGCGCAGUCUAGCCAAGGCGGACGGGUGAGUAACGCGUAAGGAACUUGCCCUGCAGACAUGGAUAACAGACGGAAACGACUGAUAACACCCGGUAUUGUCAGGCUGGCGCAUGCCGGCCUGAUGAAAGGAGACGCUGCAGGAGAGCCUUGGGUCCUAUUAGCUAGUUGGUGGGGUAACGGCCCACCAAGGCGAGGAUAGGUAGCCGGCCUGAGAGGGUGAACGGCCACAAGGGGAAUGAGAUACGGCCGUGACGACUACGGGAGGCAGCAGUGGAGAAUAUUGGACAAUGGGGGCAACCCUGAUCCAGCAAUUCUGUGUGCACGAAGAAGGUUUUCGGAGUGUAAAGUGCUUUCAGCAGGGAAGAAGAAAGUGACGGUACCUGCAGAAGAAGCGACGGCUAAAUACGUG